rnacentral:sRNA from 20 species
UUAUAAUAAACGCCUAAUCUGGGGUAUCCUAGAGCGGGGGACUAAAUUUCUGGGGUGAAUCGCACCUCCUGUGCGUAGGGCUUACACUUUCGCCCGAAUCCGUCAACUAACCCCGUAGGCUAAGAAAGGUGUCUGA